rnacentral:lncRNA from 1 species
GGUGAAGCAAUUUGAUGUUUGCAUGGAGAAAUAAGCCUCCAAUAGUAUUAUGAAAUUAUGAGAAACAGGAAUAAACCAUAAUGUGUUUGAGGUUGAAGAAAUUGUUGAUUUGCUUUACCAGCUAUAAAACUUAUUUUAAAGUUUCUUUGAUCAAACCAACAGAGAAGCAAUAUAUAAAUCAAUAGAGAGUCUAGGAAAGAUCUGAGUAUCCUUGGGAAAUUGACAUGGGACAAAAUGAUAUUUUAAUUCAGAGGAGAAAGGAUAGCUUACUUAACCAUCCCCUCUAAGUUAAAAUUUAAUAAUUUUUUGAUGAAUUUGGCUAGCAUAACUAACCAUUUUGAGGAAAACAAAUUUAGUCUUCUUCCCACACCAGAUACAAAAAUAAAUUCUAGAUGAACUAAAGACAUACAUGUUUAAAAAUUAAAAGAGAAGAUGAAACUUAGAGUUCUCCAGCAAAAUGGGGAUCUCCAAAGCUGUAAUCCAUAAGGCAGUUUUAAUUAAAAAAGAAAUUUAAAAAAAUAUUUGGGAUGAUAAAUGAUUCCACAGUAUCAAAGGACAAAUGACAGACUGCAAAAAUUAUUUGAAAUUGCAUGAGAGAUUUGAGAAUUCAAUUCUAUAUUCAUUGAUUUUUUUUAAAGGCAUAGAAAUCAAUGCAAAAAUGGGAAAGGAAUACAAUGCAAUUCUUAAAAUACAAUUCACAAAAGAUGAUCUAAAUGAUUAAUGAACAUAAAAAAUGCCCAACUUCACUAAUUGGAAAAUACAAAUUAAAGGUACCAUAAGAUGCCAUAUCAUAUCCAUUAGAUUGGUACUAAUAACAAAGAACACUAGCCCCCUGUGCCAGUCAGGACAAAGGAAAUAUUUCUCAUAUAUAUGGCAGGUGAAAACAUGGAUACUGUAGUUUAAAAAAUAAUUCAAUGAUAUCUAGCAAAACAACUGCAAUGUGUAGCAUUAUUUGUACUGAUCUCCCUCUGUAAAAAUAGAGGAAAGUAAUCAGUGAAAAUAACUUGAAUAUCCAUCAAUUGACAAAAGGCUAAAUAAAUUACUGUGCAUCAUAUUGUUAAAAAUAUGUAAAACAUGAAAUGUUGUGUAGUUAUUAAGAAGAAUAAGUGAUAUCUGUAGCUACUGACAUAGAAGAAUAUCAAUACCUUGUUUGUGAGAAAGAUCCAGUUAUAAAGAAAUGCAUGGUGGAUGCUUAAUUUUCUAAGUCAGUUUGACUAGGCUAUGGUGCCUGGAUAUUUGCUCAACCACCAGUCUAGACAGUGCCUUGAAGAUCAUUUUUUAGAUGUGAUUGACAUUUAAAUAAGCAGACUUCCUUGAGUGUGAUCUGUUGUGUAUGAGAUCCAGUGCCUUAUCCAUAAAAUGGGAUUGAUAAUAAUACCUCCACAAGCCUUUGUGAGUAUCCGAUGAGAUCAUAUAUGAAAGGCACUCAGUAUGCUGGUGUGCUGGCACAAAGUAGUACCUUUAUUACUCGCAUAAUUUUUGUUAUUGUUAUUAGAGAUCGUGUGAGAUUACUGGGGGACCAUUAAAAGAGUCCAUCAAAAUUUGCAAAGAGUAGUUCAGUGGUUGGUAGAGUUUUUCAAUAUACCCUGAGUAGCAUAAGGGAAAGGAUGUGUGUGUGUGCAUAUAGCUGACACACUUAGAGGGAAGAGGUGGAGGCAGUAGGAAUGAGUGAAAGGGAGGACCUCAGAUGUAAAAGCUGCAAGAUUAGUUCAACAUUAAAGAUGCUAUCAAAGUUCCUAGAGUUGAUAGUGUUGUGACCAAAGGAGAAGAAGCAGGUUUGGGAGAAGGGUAUAAGAUAAAACGUUUGGGGGGCACCCGGGUAGCUCAAAUGGUUAAGUGACCAACUCUUGAUUUUGGCUCAGGUCAUGAUCUCAGGGUCGUGAGAUUAAACUCCACAUUGGGCUCCAUACUAAGCAGGGAGCCUCCUAAGAUUCUCUCUCUCCUUCUGCUCCUCCUCACCUACCACUGUUGCAUUCUUUCUUUUUCUCUCUCACUCUCCAAAAUAAAUAAGUAAAUCUUUAAGAAAAGAAAAAAGAAAAGAAAAGUUUGGUUUGGGACACAACAAUAACUAAUAUUUAUUGAAUGCUUAUCUCUUAUGACCCUAUCAACACUCUAUACAGUUGUUAAGAUUACCUUCACCAUUUCACAGAUGACAAAACUGAAGAACAGAGACAUUAACCAACUUACUCAGGGUUGCAGCUUCACUGGCCUCCUCAUUGAUCCUGGUGCACACAUG